UACGGGGGGGGCAAGCGUUGUUCGGAAUUAUUGGGCGUAAAGGGCGCGUAGGCGGUGCGGCAAGUCUCCUGUGAAAUCUCCGGGCUUAACUCGGAGCCUGCAGGAGAAACUGCCGUGCUUGAGUGUGGGAGAGGUGAGUGGAAUUCCGGGUGUAGUGGUGAAAUGCGUAGAUAUCCGGAGGAACACCAGUGGCGAAGGCGGCUACCUGGACCGGAACUGACGCUGAGGCGCGAAAGCGUGGGUAGCAAACAGG
rnacentral:rRNA from 1 species